CCACGCGGCCCGCGGGCCCAACCGAAUUGGAGGCUGCAUGCCAGCUGACCUUGUGCCGUAGCCUCCUCUGUCUGCUCGCGCGCGCGUGCGCUCCAGGCUGUGGGUCACCUCUCCCUGGCGUCCCGGGAAGCACCGGUUGCCGGACCCGGGCCGGCGGGCGCCUCACACGUUCACUGGGUUCCCCGCACAGCACAGCGACUUCGAGGACAAGGGGAGCCUGAGGCCGCGGCGGCGAGCCCCAAGCCGUCUCCCGUGCGCCCCUGCGCCGGGCACGAUCAGGAUCAGUGCAGGAAGGGGCUCGGCCUGUAGGCACUCUGGCCUUAAGGUGCACCUUCAAGGCAGGACUGCUCUGAGGGUUUCAGCGAUGCAGUUUGAAAAGUGUCAUCUUCCCAUGGUCCCCCCUUCCCCAUGACACCCGCGAAAGGUGCGUGCAAACGUGGAAGUUUUGGAAGACAAGGUGGGUCCUGCUCUGCGAGUCACAAGCAGCCCAUGCGCAGGCAGCAUCCCUGCUUGGGCGUGUGUCGAAGUGGGGGCUAAACAACAGCAUCCCACACUGCGCCGGGCACGGGAGGUCCCCACUCAGAAUCGGCCCACUGUGAAACCCAGCGGUUUUCAAAGCCUCCUUUAUGACGCAUGUGUGAAUACAGUCUCUUGAUAUUUAAAGGCUUUAAUCGCUAUUACACUUCAGCUUUGAGAGCAGCCAGCCAGUGGCUCACAAGCGCUCCACCACCUUAGAUAUGUCUGGCAGGUGGCCUGCGCUGAGUGGAGCCACCUCACCUUCUGGAGAAACCAGGGACGCCCGCGCCCCCCUUCCCCCGGCCUGUGCCCCUAUCCCUUCACCCACAGCGUCACUGUAGAGAUGACCAUCUGGCCUGAUUUGGGGGCCCCCAGGCAGAAGAAGGGCUUCAGGGGGCCGGAGAAUUGCAGCUGGGCGUAGGUGUGCAUGUGUGACCCGUCCUUCAGGUUGUAGAAGGACACCUCCCCCGCCUCGAAGUCCAGGAAGACCCCCAUGUGGCUGGGGGGCUCGGCCAGCGUGACAGGGGUUGGGGCAGAUGUGCCGGGUGUGUACUUCUUCCCUUUGCACAGCUGCACCACCCAGAACCCAUUUUCGGGGCACUUGGGGACCCUGUCCCUCCGGCUCACAUUGUCCCUGCACACGCCCAGGGCCCAGAGAGCGUCACCGGUGAGGUUCAUGCCCACCUCCCAAUAGUGCCUGCCCGAGGAGAAGGUCUCCCGCCCCACGGCACAGGGGUAGGCCAGGAACCGGUCCUUGCUGUGGAGCGCGCCCUCCAGUGGCGUGCUCAGGUAGCGCCUCUGGCGGCUCUCGUACAAGAGGAGGUAGGGGUAGGCGGUGGCGGGGUCCGGCACCACAUCCUCUGCAGAUGGAGGGAAGGGGGCAGCGAAUCAUCCCUGCUCUCCCUAACCAGGCUCCAGGGCUGAGUCCAGCUGUACACCCGGGCCACUGGGGUCCCUCCCCCAACUGUCCAUAUUGGUGGUGCUAAGGAGCUGGGAGCUGGGGGGCCAUUUGGGCACCUCACCGUGUGUCCCCAUAGGAACAGAAAAGGCACAGAGUGUGAAUGUCCCAUAAAAGACAGUCCCCCCGGCUGGGCUCCUGCUUACCUUGGAAACUCUUCAGCACCUCUAUCUGCCCAGGGACCCUGCAGAGUGUCCUCAGCACAGUUGGGGUGGCCUCUGGGUACUGUACACUCAGGCUGUUCCUCCUCCAGUGGACACAGGGUCAUUGUCCCCUCUGACCCCACGCGGAGCCCUCCCUGCGCCCAUCAGUGCCUCCCCUGCAGCUGGCCACGUACCUUCUCAGGAGCUCCUUCAUGUCCUGCAAGACACAGAAGGAGGGAGAUUGGCAAAGCCUCGUGAGGAAUCUGGGGCGUUGUGCCUGCAUUUCUGGUCUGUAGUGCUAGAAAGGCUAAGAUGUUUUCCCACAGCCCUGUGCCCGCUUUCCAGAGCGUAACCCGGUCUUGGCUGCACACAGGAAUCCUACGCGCUGGCCUGGCCAGGCCUCCUGUUCUCCCCACAUAAUGCCUGGAGACAUGGAAGCUGUGCCAGUGAACCCAUGGGUGGAAUUGGGGGCACAAGGCAGGUGACCAUCAAUGUGCCUUUUGUAGUUCAGCAUCACUGUGAGUGACAAAAAGGUCCACAUGUUAGUUUGUAGAUAGGUUGCUUUUUAAUAGAAGACAAAACGUUCCUCUGAGCUACGUAGCCUGAGCUACCAUAUAACCUGUCAUCUAGAACAGGCCCCUUCCUGGGGACAAAACCCACAGAGGUCAGGACAACAGACAAAAACCUGGGCCUGAGCCAGGCAAACGGGACGGAUGCAUGGAUUCCCUGCAUGUGGCAUUUGCUUCUCUUGUGGAAACAUGCACACAGGAGUGUGUGCAAUCUUAUCUGUCGCCGUGGAUUCCGUCCCUCCACAUAGUUGGUGAAUCACCCACUUGUUGGCCAACAUAACCCCCUGCUUUCAGGGUCUCGGUGGGCCGGUCUGUCCUUGGAAGGCCAGCUGUGGCCUCUUGUGACUGCCAUCCUGGGGUGCAAUCACAUGACUCCCUCCUGCCUGUGAAGUCGUGGGUGUCUAUCUGGGCCAGUGUGUCUGUGCCCCACAUCACCUCACUAAUGACAGCCGCCCCCAGGCCACUUCCCUGGGCUAGGAAGGGAGGGGACAUACAUCUGCAGGACGAGAGCCUGUUAUGGGCUGACUGGGCUUCAGAUUCACACACUGGAGCCAGCCUGCAGGACCUCAGAGGGGGACUGUAUUGGUGAUUGGGUCUUUAAAGAGCCGAUUUACGGUAAAGUGAGGUCACUAGGGUUGGACCCUAAUUCCCUAACACUGGUGUCCUUGCAAGAAAAGGAGUUUAGGACACAGACAGGCAGAGAGGGACGACCCUGCGAGGACUCAGGGAGAAGAUGGCCACGUAUACGUCAGGGAGAGAGGCCUGGGGAGUAACCAGCCCUGCCUGUGCCUGGAUCCCAGACUUCCUGCCUCCAGGACUAGGAGACACAGUCCACUGUGUGAACCACCUCCUGUGGUCUUUGUGAGGCAGCCUGAGCUGAGACAGAGCUUUCCCCUGUGUGUACUAGUUACUGCAGUCACCACCUGACCACACCUGGGCAUGAGUCCCCCCCACCCAGAUAGGUGAGCAGGGGUGCUGAGGUCUCACCUACCCCCCCAGGUGAGCAGGUGUACUGAGGUCUCCCCUCUCCCAGGUGAGCAGGGGUGCUAGGUCUCCCCUCCCCCCCAGAUGAGCAGCUGUAUUGAGGUCUCCCCACCCCCCAAUAUGAGCAGUGGUGCUGAGGUCUCCCCUCCCCCAGGAUCAGGUGUCCUGGGGACUCCCCUCCCCCAGGGAGCAGGGGUGCUGAAGUCUCCACUCCCCCAGGUGAGCAGGGUUGCUGAGGUCUCCCCUCCUCCCCAGGUGAGCAGGGGUCCUGAGGUCUCCCCCCCAAGUGAGCAGGGGUCCUGGGGUCUCCCCUCCCCCAGGUGAACAGGUGUACUGAGGACUCUCCCCCAUUCCCCAGGGAGCAGGUAUACUGAGGACUCCCUCCCAGGGAGCAAGUGCACUGAGGACUCGCCACACCCCCAGGGAGCAGGUGUACUGAGGACUCUCCUCCCCCCAGAGAGCAGGGCGCCCCCUCACCUGCAACAUCUGCAGUGGGCUGUGCUGGUUCUUGUCCUCCAGCUGGAGCAGCAGCAUCUCCAGGGAGUGGCCCUGCCGCUCCAGGGUGGCAGAGCUCUCCCGUAGCCUGGCUCCCACCUCCUCGUCCUCAGUCUUCAGGGCCUGGAGCAGGCGCUGUUCCUCCUCCAGGAGGAAGAGGCCCAUCUUCUCAAACUCCACCAGGAUGCGCCGCCUCUGCUCCUUCACCUUCUCCUGCAGGAGCCAGCGGUGGGGGAGGGGGGAUUGCGGGUGUGAGGGACCCCGGACCCGUGUCCACUCCCUUUCCCCGCCAGCCAGAUGGGAGGGCAGCUCCCAGGACGCUGUAACCCCCCAGGGUCCUGGUGACCCACAGAGAAGAAGCUAGCCUAGCAGGGGAGGGAGCCCCUCUGUGGGGGUCACCUGCUGAGCCCCAAGCAGCGGCACCCAAGUGUCCCUGCAUCUCCAAGGCGGCCGGCCUGGGCUGGGCGUGUGUUCUGGAUCCUGAUUCUAGCGGGAAUCCUGAGCUCCGGGUAUGUGUUCGCAUCCACACAGCUCUUGUGUGGCCUGUCCGAACCCACUGGGCUCCUGUGUGUGCACCCCGUCCCUGGGCACCUGCCUGCCACUCAGCCAAGGUCUGUCUCUCCCUGGCCUGCAGCCUCCCAGUCUUCAUCAUCUCCUCCCGAAGGUGCCCCAUGUCGGCCUGCAGCUUCAGCUGUGAGACACAUGGACCGCAGAGUGUGGGGUCAGAGGCCCUUAUGCCCUGGCAUCUGCCCAGUGCCCCCACCCAAGAGAAGGAUGUGAGGGGGUCCUGGGGAAGAACACAUGGCACCUGAGACAUGCGCCUUGGGCAGGAGGGUUAUUAUGAGCUGGAGCCAAUCAAGGAUCAGCACUGCAGAAAUAGACCUUCCUGGGGCUCCCCUUAACUGAGUAAAGGCCAGAGGAAGAGGAGGCCCAGGGGUCUCAUCCCAGGAAGGUUUAUGGCCCUACAAGAAGGUGGCGAGCUGGUGCCCUGAUGCAUGUGCACUAACAACCCUUCUCUUCCGUGAGUUUCUCUAUAUUUGCUUUCUGCUGUGCUUGGCACAUGUCUCCAAGCCCACAUGCUGAAUACGAACCCCCAGCGCGGAGUGAGGAGGUGGGGCUCCUGGGGGGCAAUCAGGUCACGAGGGUGGCGCCCCCAGGAAUGGGAUUAGUGUGAUCAUACAACAGACCCCACAGAGCUCCCCGCCCAGCGAGGACAGGGAACCAGGAUGAGGGCUAUCAGCCCAUGGUGCUGGAGCCCUAACUGCACGGACCUGGGGCAGGGCCUCCAACAGUGUGGACUCCAGGCCACCAGCUUUGUGGACGUUUGGGCUGUGCAUUAUGGGGGCUCUUGUCCUGCCUACUACAUGUGCACCAGGACGUCCCUGUGACCCACCUUGUACUCUUGCACGGCCUCCUCGACCGGGACCACCCUAUGGGUCCUGUGUUCCCGGGCCUCCUUGCAGACGACACAGAUGGGGAUCUGGUCGUCCUCACAGAAGAGCUUCAGCAACUCCUGGUGCUCUGCGCACAGGUCCCUGCUCUGGAAGCCCGGGUGCUGCCGCGCCAUCUCAGCCACUUUGGUCAGCAGGCGGUUGGGCCGCAAGUUCCUUUGAGGGGAUAGCUCCCGGCACUCGGGGCAUGGGAAGGAGCCCUUCCGCUUCCUCCCCCCUUUCCUGCCUUUGGCCUUCUCCCAGGCCAGCCGGAUGCACUCGCGGCAGAAGUUGUGGCCGCAGGAGGUCAUCACCGGGUCCGUGAAGUAGUCUAGGCAGAUGGAGCACGUGGCCUCCUCCUGCAGCUUUCUGGCAAGUUCCAAGGCAUCCAUGCUUUCUGGGCAGGGAGUGGAGUGUCCCUCACAUGCUCCUUGAUCCUCUCCACACCAAACCCUUGUCUGUGGCCGGCCCAACCAAUGUAGGGAGAAUCUUGCUAGGUUGCAUUAGAGCGUCCCCCCAACCCCCCAACCCCCCACCCCCCACAUGAUGUCUGAUCUGGCUCCUCACCUCCCACUGACCUGUCAACAGCAAGAAUCCUGUUCAGCCAGUUUGGCAAGAAUCGCCCUCUCAGAGAUUUUUCAUCACUAACCCUCACUUCCCCUGAACCGCCAUAAAUCCCCACUGGUCCACCCUAUACUGAGUUGAGCCAGUUCUUUGCUGGGAUCUCUCAUCCCCUAUUACAGUAAUCCUGAACAAAGUCUGUUUUUACUGUCCUGACUACGCGUCAGCUCUGGUGUUCUGCCACAUGGUGCAGUGCAGAAAAGACACCUGGUGUGCGUGAGUGCAUGCACAGACAUGCACACACACAAGAGCAAACACACACACGUGCACAUAUGCACACACACGAGAGCGCACCCAUGCACACACGCGCACAUAUACACACAUACACAUGCACAGAAC